UGGUGUCCCAUUUAGGAGAAC
rnacentral:siRNA from 1 species